GUUCAGCACAAUUUAAGAGAUUUCUUAACGAAGGUACAUUGACAGUAGCUGACGAAGAUAGUUUAGAGAAGAUCCCAAAUGUUCCUGGUCUUCUCUCGUAUCGUGAAGAUAAUCAACAACUUUAUGUCAAUAAUGGAUCAGAGUGGCAAUCUUUGGCUUAUGAAGAUGAGAUUCGACAAUUACAGCAGGAAGUUAGAAAUCAAGAAACCAGGAACAACAAUCAACAAAGUGCAAUCCAAAAUCUUCAAACAACAAACAACAAUCAACAAAGUGCAAU